rnacentral:misc_RNA from 1 species
UUUCCGUAGGUGAACCUGCGGAAGGGUCAUUACCGAGUGAGGGUCCCACAGGCCCAACCUCACACCCUGUGUUUUUGUGACCUUGUUGCUUUGGCGGGCCCGCCUCGAUGAGAGGCCGCCGGAAGCUCACCGCUUUGGGCCCGUGCCCGCCAGUAGCCCCCUUAAAUUCUGAAUAAACCUGUCGUCUGAGUCCAUGGAUAUAAUGAAAAAAAACUUUCAACAACGAAUCUCUUGGUUCUG